GGUAAAAAAGCUCGUAGUUGGAUUUCUGUUGAGGACAACCGGUCCACACAACGUGUGCGUAUCUGGUUUGGCCUCGGCAUCCUCUCGAUAGACGUUUCUGCGCUUGAUUGCGUGGAGCGGAUCUCGGGACUUUUACUUUGAGGAAAUUAGAGUGUUCACGGCAGGCAAUCGCCAGAAUACGUUAGCAUGGAAUAAUAAUAUAGGAUCUCGAUUCUAUUUUGUUGGUUUCUAGAAUUGAGUUAAUGAUUAAUAGGGACAAUUGGGGGCAUUCGUAUCAACACGUCAGAGGUGGAAUUCUUGGAUUGUGUUGCGACGAACUACUGCGAAAGCAUUUGCCAAGGAUGUUUUCAUUGAUCAAGAACGAAAGUAAGGGGAUCGAAGACGAUUAGAUACCGUCGUAGUCUUUACCAUAAACUAUGCCAACUAGAGAUGGGGCAUCGUUCAUUUACGACUUGCUCCGCACCUUAUGAGAUAUCAAAGUCUUUGGGUUCCGGGGGGAGUAUGGUCGCAAGGCUGAAACUUAAAGGAAUUGACGGAAGGGCACCACCAGGAGUGGAGCCUGCGGCUUAAUUUGACUCAACACGGGGAAACUCACCAGGUCCAGACAUAAUAAGGAUUGACAGAUUGAUAGCUCUUUCUUGAUUUUAUGGGUGGUGGUGCAUGGCCGUUCUUAGUUCGUGGAGUGAUUUGUCUGCUUAAUUGCGUUA
rnacentral:rRNA from 1 species